CCUACGGGUGGCAGCAGUGAGGAAUAUUGGUCAAUGGGCGAGAGCCUGAACCAGCCAAGUCGCGUGCAGGAUGACGGCCCUACGGGUUGUAAACUUCUUUUGUCAGGGAGCAAUUGAGUCCACGUGUGGUCUUAGCGAGAGUACCUGAAGUAACAGCAUCGGCUAACUCCGUGCCAGCAGCCGCGGUAAUAUGGAGGGUGCGAGCGGGAUCCGGAUUUAUUGGGUUUAAAGGUUGCGUAGGCGGAAGAUCAAGUCAGCGGUAAAAAUUCGGGGCGCACACCCGUCUGUCCGUUGAAACUGAUGUUCGUGAGUGGGCGAGAAGUAUGCGGAAGGCGUGGUGUAGCGGUGAAAUGCA
rnacentral:rRNA from 1 species